rnacentral:misc_RNA from 1 species
UUUCCGUAGGUGAAUCUGCGGAAGGAUCAUUCAUAAUAAAGUGUUUUAUGGCACUUUUUAAAAAUCCAUAUCCACCUUGUGUGCGAUGUUAGAUCUCGUCAAUCUUGGCGAGAUUUUUAUACAUCAACUCAUUCUUUAACUAAUUUGUCUGAAAAAUAUUAUGAAUACUUAAUUCAAAAUACAACUUUCAACAACGGAUCUCUUGGCUCUC